AUUGAACGCUGGCGGCAUGCCUUACACAUGCAAGUCGAACGGCAGCACGGGUGCUUGCACCUGGUGGCGAGUGGCGAACGGGUGAGUAAUACAUCGGAACGUACCUUAUCGUGGGGGAUAACGCAGCGAAAGCUGUGCUAAUACCGCAUACGCCCUGAGGGGGAAAGCGGGGGAUCGAAAGACCUCGCGCGAUUAGAGCGGCCGAUGCCUGAUUAGCUUGUUGGUGGGGUAAAAGCCCACCAAGGCGACGAUCAGUAGCUGGUCUGAGAGGACGAGCAGCCAUACUGGGACUGAGACACGGCCCAGACUCCUACGGGAGGCAGCAGUGGGGAAUGUUGGACAAUGGGGGCAACACUGAACCAGCAAUGCCGCGUGAGUGAAGAAGGCCUUCGGGUUGUAAAGCUCUUUUGUCAGGGAAGAAACACCGGCUCUAACACAGUCCGGGAAUGACGGUACCUGAAGAAUAAGCACCGGCUAACUACGUGCCAGCCGCCGCAGUAA
rnacentral:rRNA from 1 species